GUCCCACCACUGCUUACUUGAUGCACCUGGUAGAGCUCCCCAAGAAACGCCGCAAGAAGAAGUUGAUGUACCACCAGCUACAAGACGGAGAUCAAUUUAGUGAUGAAGAGGAGUAUGGUGGGAAUGAAGUUGUGGAGAUCAAUGAAGCUGUGGAUACAUUAACAAUGGAGAAUAAAUUCAUGAUCCAUCAAAGUAAAGUUGUAUCAUCCUUUCCAAGAAUGUACGAGGAUGUCUGUGAUGGGAUUGAGGACUUGAGAGUUUCAAUUGUGUUCCUCACCUUUCACAAGCACCAGCGCCUUGAUAGAAAAUUGGAGCCUGGCAAGGAAGGGAUAAGAGUGACCAACCAAAAGCUUCUACGCCAUGCCCCUUGCUCGGUGGGGAUCUUUGUAGACAGAGGGCAGACAGGAUUUCACUUGCCUACCUCUGAAUCAGUGCAAAAUGUGGCAACAUUGUUCUUUGGAGGCCCUGAUGAUCGAGAGGCAUUAGCUUGCAGCAAAAGGAUUGCCUCACACCCUCACAUUAAUUUC
rnacentral:misc_RNA from 1 species